rnacentral:rRNA from 1 species
CAGUAGCCGCGGUAAUACGAAGGGUGCAAGCGUUAAUCGGAAUUACUGGGCGUAAAGCGUGCGUAGGCGGUUUGUUAAGUCUGCUGUGAAAUCCCCGGGCUCAACCUGGGAAUGGCAGUGGAUACUGGCAAGCUAGAGUGUGUCAGAGGAUGGUGGAAUUCCCGGUGUAGCGGUGAAAUGCGUAGAGAUCGGGAGGAACAUCAGUGGCGAAGGCGGCGACCUGGUCCUUUACUGACGCUGAGGCGCGAAAGCGUGGGGAGCAAACAGGAUUAGAUACCCCCGUAGUCCCUGUCUCUUAUAU